UCUUGUGGAUGAUGAGAAUAUUCGUAAAAUACAGUUAUCCCUGUCUGAUAAAUUCAUAUGGUGCUGUCAAUGUUCAAUCUGACACAUUU